GAGUUUGAUCCUGGCUCAGAACGAACGCUGGCGGCAGGCUUAACACAUGCAAGUCGAACGAUGGCUUCGGCCAUAGUGGCGCACGGGUGAGUAACGCGUGGGAACCUGUCCUGUGGUUCGGGAUACCUCCGGGAAACUGGAGUUAAUACCGGGAAUCUCCUGAGGGAGAAAGAUUUAUCGCCAUAGGGUGGGCCCGCGUCCGAUUAGCUAGUUGGUGGGGUAAAGGCCUACCAAGGCUACGAUCGGUAGCUGGUCUGAGAGGAUGAUCAGCCACACUGGGACUGAGACACGGCCCAGACUCCUACGGGAGGCAGCAGUGGGGAAUAUUGGACAAUGGGAGCAACCCUGAUCCAGCCAUGCCGCGUGAGUGAUGAAGGCCUUCGGGUUGUAAAGCUCUUUCGACGGGGACGAUGAUGACG
rnacentral:rRNA from 1 species